UGCGUAGGUGGUUUGUUAAGUCCGUUGUGAAAUCCCUGGGCUCAACCUGGGAAUGGCAGUGGAUACUGGCAAGCUAGAGUGCGGUAGAGGGUAGUGGAAUUCCCGGUGUAGCAGUGAAAUGCGUAGAGAUCGGGAGGAACACCAGUGGCGAAGGCGGCUACCUGGACCAGCACUGACACUGAGGCACGAAAGCGUGGGAGCAAACA
rnacentral:rRNA from 1 species